rnacentral:lncRNA from 1 species
GAAAGGCUUUGUCCCAUUCCUAGAAUGAAGCUGCUUGCUAGGACUCUGUACCUCUGGGAGGUGGGGAGACAGGUAGCCUCUUGGAGCCUGACGUCUGGCCAGGAGUGUUUGGUGCUCAGGGAAACAUGGUGGGCUUCGAUGAGGGCUGUCAGAACCAGAGCAGUUCAUCACAAGCCUGGACAUUGCAUCGCCAUGGGAAGGAUCAUGCGUCCGGAUGAUGCCAACGUGGCCGGCAAUGUUCACGGAGGGACCAUUCUAAAGAUGAUCGAGGAGGCUGGGGUCAUCAUCAGCACCCGGCACUGUAACAGCCAGAAUGGGGAGCGCUGUGUGGCUGCCCUGGCCCGGGUGGAGCGCACUGACUUCCUGUCGCC